GGCAGUGUAGCCUAGUGGUAAAGUGCUGGACCACCAAUCGGGAGGUUGUGGGUUCGAACCCCACCCCGGGCA
rnacentral:tRNA from 1 species